rnacentral:rRNA from 1 species
AUUGAACGCUGGCGGCGGGCCUAACACAUGCAAGUCGAGCGGAUGAAGGGAGCUUGCUCCUGGAUUCAGCGGCGGACGGGUGAGUAAUGCCUAGGAAUCUGCCUGGUAGUGGGGGAUAACGUCCGGAAACGGGCGCUAAUACCGCAUACGUCCUGAGGGAGAAAGUGGGGGAUCUUCGGACCUCACGCUAUCAGAUGAGCCUAGGUCGGAUUAGCUAGUUGGUGGGGUAAAGGCCUACCAAGGCGACGAUCCGUAACUGGUCUGAGAGGAUAUCAGUCACACUGGAACUGAGACACGGUCCAGACUCCUACGGGAGGCAGCAGUGGGGAAUAUUGGACAAUGGGCGAAAGCCUGAUCCAGCCAUGCCGCGUGUGUGAAGAAGGUCUUCGGAUUGUAAAGCACUUUAAGUUGGGAGGAAGGGCAGUAAGUUAAUACCUUGCUGUUUUGACGUUACCAACAGAAUAAGCACCGGCUAACUUCGUG